UACGGAGGGUGCAAACGUUGCUCGGAAUCAUUGGGCGUAAAGCGCACGUAGGCGGUUCUGCAAGUCGGGUGUGAAAUCCCUCGGCUUAACCAAGGAAGUGCAUUCGAAACUGCAGAACUUGAGUACUGGAGAGGGUCGCGGAAUUCUCGGUGUAGAGGUGAAAUGCGUAGAUAUCUGGAGGAACACCGGUGGCGAAGGCGGCAUCCUGGACCAACACUGACACUGAGGAGCGAAAGCCAGGGGAGCAAACGGG
rnacentral:rRNA from 1 species